rnacentral:rRNA from 1 species
UACGAAGGGGGCUAGCGUUGUUCGGAAUUACUGGGCGUAAAGCGCACGUAGGCGGAUUGUUAAGUUAGGGGUGAAAUCCCAGGGCUCAACCCUGGAACUGCCUUUAAUACUGGCAAUCUCGAGUCCGAGAGAGGUAAGUGGAAUUCCGAGUGUAGAGGUGAAAUUCGUAGAUAUUCGGAGGAACACCAGUGGCGAAGGCGGCUCACUGGCUCGGUACUGACGCUGAGGUGCGAAAGCGUGGGGAGCAAACAGG